rnacentral:rRNA from 1 species
CUUGGUUGAGUAGAUGGGUGUAAAGUUUUCGGAAGAAAGUAGUGGACUGACGGUCGACCAGAAACGGCUAAUACGUGCCAGCAGCCGCGUAAUACGUAGGUGGCUGUCCGGAAUUAUUGGGCGUAAAGCGCGCGCAGGCGGUAAGUUGAUGUGAAAGCCCCCGGGCUCAACCGGGGAGGGUCAUUGGAAACUGGGGAACUUGAGUGCAGAAGAGGAGAGCGGAAUUCCACGUGUAGCGGUGAAUGCGUAGAGAUGUGGAGGAACACCAGUGGCGAAGGCGGCUCUCUGGUCUGUAACUGACGCUGAGGCGCGAAAGCGUGGGGAGCGAACAGGAUUAGAUACCCUGGUAGUCCACGCCGUAAACGAUGAGUGCUAAGUGUUAGAGGGUUUCCGCCCUUUAGUGCUGCAGCAAACGCAUUAAGCACUCCGCCUGGGGAGUACGGCCGCAAGGCUGAAACUCAAAGGAAUUGACGGGGGCCCGCACAAGCGGUGGAGCAUGUGGUUUAAUUCGAAGCAACGCGAAGAACCUUACCAGGUCUUGACAUCCUCUGACAACCCUAGAGAUAGGGCGUUCCCCUUCGGGGGACAGAGUGACAGGUGGUGCAUGGUUGUCGUCAGCUCGUGUCGUGAGAUGUUGGGUUAAGUCCCGCAACGAGCGCAACCCUUGAUCUUAGUUGCCAGCAUUAAGUUGGGCACUCUAAGGUGACUGCCGGUGACAAACCGGAGGAAGGUGGGGAUGACGUCAAAUCAUCAUGCCCCUUAUGACCUGGGCUACACACGUGCUACAAUGGAUGGAACAAAGGGCAGCGAAGCCGCGAGGUGAAGCCAAUCCCAUAAAACCAUUCUCAGUUCGGAUUGCAGGCUGCAACUCGCCUGCAUGAAGCCGGAAUCGCUAGUAAUCGCGGAUCAGCAUGCCGCGGUGAAUACGUUCCCGGGCCUUGUACACACCGCCCGUCACACCACGAGAGUUUGUAACACCCGAAGUCGGUGGGGUAACCUUUUGGAGCCAGCCGCCUAAGGUGG